GAUGAACGCUGGCGGCGUGCCUAAUACAUGCCAGUCGAGCGAACAGAUAAGGAGCUUGCUCCUUUGACGUUAGCGGCGGACGGGUGAGUAACACGUGGGUAACCUACCUAUAAGACUGGGAUAACUUCGGGAAACCGGAGCUAAUACCGGAUAACAUUUGGAACCGCAUGGUUCUAAAGUGAAAGAUGGUUUUGCUAUCACUUAUAGAUGGACCCGCGCCGUAUUAGCUAGUUGGUAAGGUAACGGCUUACCAAGGCAACGAUACGUAGCCGACCUGAGAGGGUGAUCGGCCACACUGGAACUGAGACACGGUCCAGACUCCUACGGGAGGCAGCAGUAGGGAAUCUUCCGCAAUGGGCGAAAGCCUGACGGAGCAACGCCGCGUGAGUGAUGAAGGGUUUCGGCUCGUAAAACUCUGUUAUUAGGGAGGAACAAACGUGUAAGUAACUGUGCACGUCUUGACGGUACCUAAUCAGAAAGCCACGGCUAACUACGUG
rnacentral:rRNA from 1 species